UACGUAGGGUGCGAGCGUUGUCCGGAAUUAUUGGGCGUAAAGAGCUUGUAGGCGGUUUGUCGCGUCUGCCGUGAAAAUCCGGGGCUCAACCCCGGACUUGCGGUGGGUACGGGCAGACUAGAGUGUGGUAGGGGAGACUGGAAUUCCUGGUGUAGCGGUGAAAUGCGCAGAUAUCAGGAGGAACACCGAUGGCGAAGGCAGGUCUCUGGGCCACUACUGACGCUGAGGAGCGAAAGCCAGGGGAGCAAACGGG
rnacentral:rRNA from 1 species